rnacentral:rRNA from 1 species
AGCGAACGCUGGCGGCAGGCCUAACACAUGCAAGUCGAACGAACUCUUCGGAGUUAGUGGCGGCCGGGUGAGUAACACGUGGGAACGUGCCUUUUGGUUCGGCAUAACUCAGGGAAACUUGUGCUAAUACCGAAUGUGCCCUUCGGGGGAAAGAUUUAUCGCCAUUAGAGCGGCCCGCGUCUGAUUAGCUAGUUGGGGAGGUUACGGCUCACCAAGGCGCCGAUUAGUAGCUGGUCUGAGAGGAUGGCCAGCCACACUGGGACGGAGACACGGCCCAGACUCCUACGGGAGGCAGCAGUGGGGAAUCUUGCGCAAUGGGCGAAAGCCUGACGCAGCCAUGCCGCGUGAAUGAUGAAGGUCGUAGGAUUGUAAAAUUCUUUCACCGGGGACGAUAAUGACGGUACCCGGAGAAGAAGCCCCGGCUAACUUUGUG